rnacentral:lncRNA from 1 species
GAAAUUUUCAAUUGAUGGAACUGCAGUUGCUGUAACAUUGCCUUGGUGGUACCAUAAUGAUGUCAAUAACCAGAAGUGCCCUGGUUCCCUAUCGAUGCCGGUUACCAGAGACGCGCUGGUACCCUAUCGUUGCCAGUCAACAGAGGUGUGCUGGGCCCAUUAUGUGAACAUAGUAAUCAGCUGUUUUCAACAAGAUUACUGCGAGUCACUAUUGUGUUCACUGUAAAAAAACCUGUGGAAAAUGACAGUACUUGAAAAUGCAGCUCUCUGAUUGGUCAGUUAGAAUUCCUAACCCGUGAAUACUAGUUUAUAAAGGCAAGAAGACAUUGUUUGGCAUUAUUGAAAGACAUAGAAAAAGAAUCGAUUGCAGGAAACAGAUAUCAUGCCGUCCUGUGUUGUUUUUAACAGCUUACAGUCCGAUGCAUGUCAGUGCAAAUGUUCUCCAACAGUACAGCAAACAAUUAAGAAAUAGGAAAAUAUGAUGAAAGAUGGUGCGGUUGCUGGUUGUUGUUGUGUACCUUUCCUUGACAUACGGAAAAGUUGAAGCUGAUAAAUGGACUUUAUUUCAACGGAAGGAGUCUUUAGACGGAAAGGUGGUCAAUAUACAGAUUUCGCGUUUUCUAAAGACUUUGCCCACGACAAAACUAUGUGUCUAUUCGAAUGUGCGAAUCACGUUAACUGUGGGAGCAUUUUCCACGUGCAACAUACUGGAAAUUGUACGGGAUGCACAGAAAGCUACGAUAUUGUGAGUCCGACAGGGCUAGCUGCAGGUUCCGUGUACUAUGGUCCC